CUUGAACUCACCGUAUAGUUUGUUUCCAUGUAUAAAGUUCUCCGACUUUCUAGGACGUGUUUUAUGCCUCUUUUUCUGUCUCAUUUUGUCCACCACACUUUUAACGUUGGGCAUGAGUGCACAAAGGGUUCGAAUCCACAAUGGCUAACCCCUUGUGACAUCAUCAAAGAGCGUGCCGCGUGGCGCCGAGCGGCAACAAGGUGUCUCUUAAAGGAAGAACCCGGUCCUGCUGCAAGUGCUGCACAGAUGUUUCUGGAUUCUGAGUCAUGGGGAAUGCAAAAGAAUUGUCAAAGGAUCUGCGAGAAAAGGUUUGGAUUCUCGGGAAGGACAUUUUUAAAGGCAAACAUGAAUUAGUGUGUUAUCUCAGAAUGGCAUGAAUGUCAAGGAAGAAGAAAACUGCAAAAGUGUUCCUUCCUUUUGGAGUCCUUCCUGUUGCAGACCUCUGCUGCCGCUCAGAGGCGACACACUAGAAGUGGGGAAAAGAGGAAGUAAGUG